rnacentral:rRNA from 1 species
AUUGAACGCUGGCGGCAUGCCUUACACAUGCAAGUCGAACGGCAGCGCGGGAGCAAUCCUGGCGGCGAGUGGCGAACGGGUGAGUAAUAUAUCGGAACGUGCCCAGUAGUGGGGGAUAGCCCGGCGAAAGCCGGAUUAAUACCGCAUACGACCUGAGGGUGAAAGGGGGGGAUCGCAAGACCUUUCGCUAUUGGAGCGGCCGAUAUCAGAUUAGGUAGUUGGUGGGGUAAAGGCCUACCAAGCCUGCGAUCUGUAGUUGGUCUGAGAGGACGACCAGCCACACUGGGACUGAGACACGGCCCAGACUCCUACGGGAGGCAGCAGUGGGGAAUUUUGGACAAUGGGCGCAAGCCUGAUCCAGCAAUGCCGCGUGCAGGAAGAAGGCCUUCGGGUUGUAAACUGCUUUUGUCAGGGAAGAAAUCCACUAGGCUAAUACCUUGGGGGGAUGACGGUACCUGAAGAAUAAGCACCGGCUAACUACGUGCCAGCCGCCGCCGUAAUAC